GACGAACGCUGGCGGCGUGCUUAACACAUGCAAGUCGAACGAUGAACCCUAGCUUGCUGGGGGGAUUAGUGGCGAACGGGUGAGUAACACGUGAGUAACCUGCCCUUGACUCUGGGAUAAGCGUUGGAAACGACGUCUAAUACCGGAUAGGACUCCUGGCCGCAUGGUCUGGGGGUGGAAAGAUUUUUUGGUCAAGGAUGGACUCGCGGCCUAUCAGGUUGUUGGUGAGGUAAUGGCUCACCAAGCCGACGACGGGUAGCCGGCCUGAGAGGGUGACCGGCCACACUGGGACUGAGACACGGCCCAGACUCCUACGGGAGGCAGCAGUGGGGAAUAUUGCACAAUGGGCGCAAGCCUGAUCCAGCAACGCCGCGUGAGGGAUGACGGCCUUCGGGUUGUAAACCUCUUUCAGCAGGGACGAAGCGCAAGUGACGGUACCUGCAGAAGAAGGACCGGCCAACUACGUGCCAGCCGCCGCCGUAAAAC
rnacentral:rRNA from 1 species